GCCGCGGUGGUGGAAUUGGCAGACACGCGGGCCUUAAGAGCCCGUGAAGCUUAACACUUCGUGUGAGUUCGACCCUCACCCGCGGCA
rfam:Candidatus Gottesmanbacteria bacterium RIFCSPLOWO2_01_FTLL_43_11b rifcsplowo2_01_scaffold_30, whole genome shotgun sequence.